rnacentral:rRNA from 1 species
UACGGAGGAUGCAAGCGUUAUCCGGAAUGAUUGGGCGUAAAGCGUCCGCAGGUGGCUAUGUAAGUCUGCUGUCAAAGAAUGAGGCUUAACCUCAUCAAGGCAGUGGAAACUACAUAGCUAGAGUACGGUCGGGGUAGAAGGAAUUCCUGGUGUAGCGGUGAAAUGCGUAGAGAUCAGGAAGAACACCGGUGGCGAAAGCGUUCUGCUAGACCUGUACUGACACUGAGGGACGAAAGCUAGGGGAGCGAACAGG